rnacentral:rRNA from 1 species
AUGCGCUGUCAUUCCUUUUUUGUUAUGAUUUCUGUGUCUGUCAGCUUGUUAUUUUGUGUCGGCAGUCUGAACUUUCCUCUGUUACUUCUGGUCUUAUGUUGUGGGCCGUUUAUGUUCUUAGCGUUAUCAGCACUGGGUCCGAGUCUGAAAACCUAUUAUCUAUUUGCCUGUAUGAACCUGUUGGCAGUUUUCUUCUCUGUUAUGCAGUGGAGAUGUUUGGUUACCCCCUUGAGUUUCUUUAUGGAUAAUCCGCGUUUUCGUAAUUGGAAAGUUCUGUGCUGGAAUGUGCGUGGUUUAAACUCUGAGAAACGUCAGCGAGACGUCCGUGCUAAGAUUGAGGAAAGUAACUGCUCCAUUGUUUGUUUACAAGAAACAAAAUGUGAAUCUUUCGAUCUCAAGUUUAUCCGACAAUUUUGCCAGCGAAGAUUUGAUAAUUUUGCGUUCUCUCCCUCGCAUGGGGCCUCUGGGGGCAUUCUAGUUGUUUGGAAUUCAGCUUUUUUCUCUGGUUGUCUCAUCGAAAUCCAGCGUUUUGCUGUCGUUGUUUCCUUUACUUCAACUCAUAAUUCUGAAGUUUGGAAUCUGGUUUCAGUGUAUGGCCCAUGCGACGGCCCUUUGCGAGAUGAUUUUGUUCAAUGGUUAUAUCAUCUUCAAAUACCUGUUGAUGCUAACUGGUUGUUGCUGGGUGAUUUCAACUUCAUCAGAUCUUUGGACAACGGGAAUUUACCUGGUGGUGACGUAAAUGAUAUCUUUAUGUUCAAUGAGAUUAUUGGGCAUCUCGGUUUAUUGGAAUUGUCGUUGAAGGGUAGGGCCUAUACCUGGUCAAAUAUGCAGCAACAACCUCUCCUUGAACAGUUGGACUGGUUCUUCACAUCUAGUUCUUGGAUCUCGUUAUACCCUAACACAGUUGUGCACCCCCUCGCUCGCACGGGUUCUGAUCAUAUCCUGUGUUUGGUAUCGAUUGACACCACCAUCCCUAGAGCAAAAGUUUUCCGGUUUGAAAAUUACUGGGUGGACUUACCUGGAUUUAUGGACUGUGUCACGGCCUCAUGGAAUGCUCCUUUAGCUUGCGUGGGCUCGGCAACUGCUGUUAUUUCAAAGAAGUUCAAGCGUCUUAGGAGUGAUCUGAAGAGAUGGCAUAUUAAUCUUGCCUCGAUAAAGAAGCUUAUUCUUAACUGCUCUAAAGUGAUUCUUUCUUUGGAUACUCUGGAGGAAUGCAUGCCUCUCACAACCCCAGAGUUCAAUUUCAGAAAGAUAGUUAAGCUCCAUCACGAGGAUUUGCUUAGGUUGCAGUAUAUUUACUGGAAGCAGCGUUGCACUAUUCGUUAG